rnacentral:rRNA from 1 species
UAGAGGAAGUAAAAGUCGUAACAAGGUUUCCGUAGGUGAACCUGCGGAAGGAUCAUUAAAGUUUGCUUAAUUGCAUCACACACAUGUUUUUCUAGAGACACUUGCUUGCAAGAACACAAUUAAUUUAGUGAGUCAACAACCAAAAAAAUAUCAAAACUUUCAACAACGGAUCUCUUGGUUCUCGCAUCGAUGAAGAACGCAGCGAAAUGCGAUACGUAAUAUGAAUUGCAGAUUUUCGUGAAUCAUCGAAUCUUUGAACGCACAUUGCGCCCUGUGGUAUUCCACAGGGCAUGCCUGUUUGAGCGUCAUUUCUCCCUCAAACCUCUGGUUUGGCGUUGAGUGAUACUCGGUUUGCUUGAAAAGGAUGACACGCACAACUACUAGGUUUUACCAACUCGUUGUGGCGCGAUCUACAAGUUUGACCUCAAAUCAGGUAGGACUACCCGCUGAACUUAAGCAUAUCAAUAA